AUUAGAGUUUGAUCAUGGCUCAGAACGAACGCUGGCGGCAGGCUUAACACAUGCAAGUCGAACGCACCGCAAGGUGAGUGGCAGACGGGUGAGUAACGCGUGGGAACCUACCCUUUACUACGGAAUAACUGAGGGAAACUUCAGCUAAUACCGUAUACGCCCUACGGGGAAAGAUUUAUCGGUAAAGGAUGGGCCCGCGUUGGAUUAGCUAGUUGGUGGGGUAAUGGCCUACCAAGGCGACGAUCCAUAGCUGGUCUGAGAGGAUGAUCAGCCACAACUGGGACUGAGACACGGCCCAGACUCCUACGGGAGGCAGCAGUGGGGAAUAUUGGACAAUGGGGGAAACCCUGAUCCAGCCAUGCCGCGUGAGUGAUGAGGCCUUAGGGUUGUAAAGCUCUUUCAGUGGGGAAGG
rnacentral:rRNA from 1 species